UUAUCUCGCAAUAACAAGUGCAAGAUUUGUGACAGCAAAUUGUUGUCGACGCCCAGUUACUUGUGAGUCUUUGCUUUUUAAUUUUACGUGUAUAAUUAAAACAGCAAUAAUAUAACUGUGUAAAGUGUAAAGAAUUCAUCACGUGACGUAUCAUAGAAUUAUUGGGAAUAAAUUAAAUAGAACCGAUUGUCUUUGUCAUCCAAAAAGAGCAAUACAAAAUGCAGACAAUAAAAUGUGUGGUAGUGGGUGAUGGUGCUGUAGGUAAAACAUGCUUGCUGAUUUCGUAUACGACAAACAAAUUCCCUUCCGAGUAUGUUCCAACAGUCUUUGAUAAUUACGCUGUUACUGUAAUGAUCGGUGGCGAGCCAUAUACUCUAGGAUUAUUUGACACAGCAGGACAAGAAGAUUAUGAUAGACUUAGACCUUUAAGUUAUCCUCAAACAGACGUUUUUUUAGUCUGUUUUUCAGUAGUUUCUCCGUCUUCAUUUGAAAAUGUUAAAGAAAAGUGGGUACCGGAGAUAACUCAUCAUUGUCAAAAAACACCAUUUCUAUUAGUGGGAACUCAAAUUGAUUUACGAGACGACGCUGCAACAAUUGAAAAACUUGCAAAGAAUAAACAAAAACCUAUAACUGGAGAACAAGGAGAGAAAUUGGCGAAAGAAUUGAAAGCUGUCAAAUAUGUUGAAUGUAGUGCUCUUACACAGAAAGGUCUUAAAAAUGUUUUUGAUGAAGCAAUUCUUGCGGCAUUGGAACCGCCUGAGGUAGUGAGGAGAAGAAAGUGCGUUAUUUUGUAGGAGGUUUUAGACACUUUCUUUUCAUAUUAUCUUCAAACAAUUGGCUUUCUUCGCCCGAUAUUAGACUAAAAGGAGAAUGACUUGAAUAUUUUCUUCUCGACGAUUCGUGAUUACAACAAUGACCUGCUCUCUUUUUUUCUUCUACUGGACUUUUAUUUCAUAUUCUCAGUAGCAUGCCAAUUUAUUUAAUUAACUAACACUGUUAAUAAUCUACAGUACUUUAUUCAUUU
rnacentral:misc_RNA from 1 species